UCCUUCUUUUUUAUACCCAACAGCAAUCCUGAGGCUUAUUCACUUUUCCAGGCAGUUUUUCUCUUUUCCAAAAGGUCAUGAAGGAUUGUGACCUCUUUCUUUAAUGGCUGCUACACCUUCUAUGGAUCCUGUGCUCUAAAGCUACCACGUGCUUUUUAAAGUUCCCGCCA